UUUCCUAUUAAUUUGUUGCUCUAGUCUGUCAGUGAUAGGAGCGGUUAUACACAUGGGAUAAAACAAUAUUGGGUCACUGUACAUGGAGAUAAAAUGUUUUGUCCCAGCCGGGCAGUGGUGGCGCAUGCUUAU